rnacentral:rRNA from 1 species
CACGUAGGGCGCAAGCGUUGUCCGGAAUUAUUGGGCGUAAAGAGCUCGUAGGCGGUCUGUUGCGUCCGCUGUGAAAACUCGGGGCUUAACCCCGAGCCUGCAGUGGAUACGGGCAGACUAGAGGUAGGUAGGGGAGAAUGGAAUUCCCGGUGUAGCGGUGAAAUGCGUAGAGAUGUGGAGGAAUACCGAUGGCGAAGGCAGCCCCCUGGGAUAACACUGACGCUCAGGCACGAAAGCGUGGGGAGCAAACAGG